GACGAACGCUGGCGGCGUGCUUAACACAUGCAAGUCGUGCGGAAAGGCCCCUUUGGGGGUGCUCGAGCGGCGAACGGGUGAGUAACACGUGAGUAAUCUGCCCUGCACUUUGGGAUAACUGCCGGAAACGGUGGCUAAUACUGGAUAGGACUGCAUCCUGCAUGGGGUGUGGUGGAAAGCCUUUGGGUGGUGUGGGAUGUGCUCGCGGCCUAUCAGCUUGAUGGUGGGGUAGUGGCCUACCAUGGCUUUGACGGGUAGCCGGCCUGAGAGGGUGACCGGUCACACUGGGACUGAGACACGGCCCAGACUCCUGCGGGAGGCAGCAGUGGGGAAUAUUGGACAAUGGGCGGAAGCCUGAUCCAGCAACGCCGCGUGAGGGAUGACGGCCUUCGG
rnacentral:rRNA from 1 species